UACUGGAAGACGAUGAAUGCUCUUUUCCAAGAUGGCGGCGGAGGGAGGAGGGAAGGAGAUGAACGAGAUUAAGACCCAGUUUACCACCCGCGAGGGGCUCUACAAGCUCCUGAGCCACUCGGAAUACAGCCGGCCCAACCGGGUGCCUUUCAAUUCGCAGGGCUCCAACCCCGUUCGCGUCUCCUUCGUCAACGUCAACGACCAGAGUGGCAAUGGGGACCGGCUCUGCUUCAAUGUGGGCCGGGAGCUUUACUUCUACAUUUACAAGGGGGUCCGCAAGGCUGCUGAUUUGAGUAAACCAAUAGAUAAAAGGAUAUACAAAGGAACGCAACCUACAUGUCAUGACUUCAAUCACUUAACAGCCACAUCAGAAAGUGUUUCUCUACUAGUGGGCUUCUCUGCAGGACAGGUGCAACUUAUAGAUCCUAUUAAAAAAGAAACUAGCAAGCUAUUUAAUGAGGAAAGACUAAUAGACAAGUCCAGAGUAACUUGUGUAAAAUGGGUGCCUGGUUCAGAAAGUCUCUUCCUAGUAGCUCAUUCCAGUGGCAAUAUGUACUUGUAUAAUGUGGAACACAAUUGUGGUACCACAGCUCCACACUAUCAGCUACUUAAACAAGGAGAAAGUUUUGCAGUCCAUACAUGCAAAAGCAAAUCUACACGAAACCCUUUACUUAAAUGGACAGUAGGUGAGGGUGCCCUAAAUGAAUUUGGUUUUUCUCCAGAUGGAAAAUUCUUGGCAUGUGUAAGUCAGGAUGGCUUUCUUCGUGUGUUUAACUUUGAUUCAGUUGAGUUGCAUGGUACAAUGAAAAGCUACUUUGGAGGACUGCUGUGUGCAUGUUGGAGCCCAGAUGGAAAAUAUAUUGUAACAGGUGGAGAGGAUGAUUUGGUGACUGUCUGGUCAUUUGUGGACUGUCGAGUGAUAGCUAGAGGCCAUGGGCACAAAUCGUGGGUCAGUGUUGUGGCCUUUGAUCCAUAUACAACCAGUGUAGAAGAAAAUGAUCCAAUGGAAUUCAGCGGCAGUGAUGAGGACUUCCAAGACCUCCUCCAUUUUGGACGAGAUCGAGCAAAUAGCACGCAGUCAAGAUUAUCAAAAAGGAACUCUACAGAGAGUCGCCCAGUAAGUGUAACAUAUAGGUUUGGUUCGGUAGGCCAGGACACACAGCUAUGUUUAUGGGACCUAACAGAAGAUAUCCUCUUCCCACACCAGCCCCUCUCAAGAGCAAGGACACACACAAAUGUCAUGACUGCCACAAGUCCCCCUACAGGAAGUGGUGGAGCUAACCCAGGAAGUAAUGGAAAUAGCAUCACAACACCUGGAAACUCUGUGCCCCCUCCUCUUCCACGUUCCAAUAGCCUUCCACAUUCUGCAGUUUCCAAUUCUGGCAGCAAAAGCAGUGUAAUGGAUGGUGCCAUUGCCUCUGGUGUUAGUAAGUUUGCAACCUUAUCAUUACAUGACCGGAAGGAAAAACACCAUGAAAAAGAUCACAAGAGAAACCAUAGUAUGGGACAUAUAUCUAGUAAGAGCAGUGACAAACUGAAUCUAGUUACUAAAACCAAAACAGACCCAGCAAAAACUUUGGGAACGCCUCUGUGCCCCAGAAUGGAAGAUGUUCCUUUGUUAGAGCCUCUUAUCUGUAAAAAGAUAGCACAUGAAAGACUGACUGUGUUAAUUUUUCUUGAAGACUGUAUAGUCACUGCUUGUCAGGAGGGAUUUAUUUGCACAUGGGCAAGGCCUGGUAAAGUGGUAAGUUUUAAUCCUUAAUGCUGCAUCAAAGAAAUAGAACUUGAAUAGGUAGUUUUUUUUUCCUCAAAACAUAAGUGAAUGUUGAAUAUAAACAAUCUUUACGCUUAAUGUAAAAAUUAUUUCCUCAGAGCCAUACUUUUGGAUACUGCAUGCCGUAUUUCUGAACAAUUUGAAGUGUCUGGCCUAGGUGAAGUCCUUUUGAAAUACAGUUGCCUUCCAGCCAGAGAUGUGUUGUGUAUCCAAAGUGUCAGUGAUAGGUUUCUUAUAUUUUCAAAACUAUUUUUGUAUAACAUAAUUGAAACAAAUCUAAAAAUUAAUUACUGAGGGUAAAGUUGCAAGGGCAUUCAGGAAUACAGCUUAGAUAAGCUGUAGCUUGAUCUAGUGACAUUUUGGACAGUUGAAUUUCAAACACAUAACUGACAGGAAUCAAACAAUAUAUUCAUCUUUUUUGAAAGAUAUUCAUAGUGAUGGGUUUUUAAUUCUUCAGUGAUCAGGAUAAUUUGUAGUGUCUCCAUUUAAAAUUUGAAUAAACUGAUAUUAAAUAUGCAUUGUAAUAUUCUGACUUUUAAUAUCAAUCUUCAAGUAUUUCUGUGUAAGAUCACAAAAGUCCCUUAGCAGAAUGUAUGCCAUCAUAAUUUUCCCUGUCACUUCAGAUUACUUUCAUGUUAAAAUUAUUUUUAACUCAUGCAUUGUUCAUUAAAUCCAUAGGCUUAAAUCUGGCAGUGGUAAUGUUUUAUUUCAUAUUUAACACAAUUAGCUAUUUAAAUUUUUAGCACUUUAUGCUGAUAAAGGUUGUCUUCAAUAUUUAUUAGCAAUUUUCAGGCUGCAGCCAAGAUUAAAAAAAAAAUUGAGGUGAUUUCUGUGCACUCAUUUGUUCCUCCUGGGCUCAGCCUCCACACAGUAUGAUUCCUUAAAUAGCCACAUACAAGGCUUUGGGGAAUCCUUUGUUAUAUAGUCCAACACAAUAGAGCUGGAGCUAGAAUCAGAACUAGCAAAAUCUGAUUUGUUCUUGGGUAAUGAUAGAGAAAAAUGGUAUCCUAAAUGGCUGAUGGUUGAUAUUUUUGGAGAUGUAGUAUGGGGCGCUUUUAAAACAUCUUCCAGAGAAUAAGCCAUGAUGUACUUGACAGCUGUCAAUUCCUGGAGUGCACAGACUUCAGAAAAUUAUUACAAGUAGAGUUCUUCCAAUAGAAAUCAAAGCCUAUUGGGACUUAGUUUCAUGAUUGCUCUGUAAUGUGUAAUAAAGUUUUAUUCAACUGUUAAAUUCACAACAAACAUGCUCUGAUAUGUGGUCUCUCCUGUAUGCCUUAUCUUGGAUAGACAAUCUAAAAACAUGAUACUACUUUCAUGUGGGCGGGGGAAGCACACUAUGAGGAUAAAAUAUAACUAUUUGUUUGUGUUAAGAUAAUUUCCAUCUUAGUCUAUGCAGGGGCCAAAGAAAGCUUAUAGUAAUUUUGCAGAUGUGUGUUGAUGAAGUGGGUGUCUACAUGGUGGGAAAGUAUUGCCCUUCUGUUUAAUGUACAAGAGAUUCCAAAGUAAUUUAACACUGGCUUUUAGGUUACUUCCAUUUUUAUUAGGUUGAGAUUCUUAAAGGAGCUGAAGUGAACUAAUUAGUACAACUUGCGUAUAGCAACAAUUUAAUUUGGAAGACAUUUCAAAUAUUUCAGAGAUAGAGUAUGCAGUAUCAAAAGCUAGGAUUUCUAUAUUUGGCAAAUGCAGAAAUCUUUAAGGUAAGUUUCAUGCUGAUACUAUUCAUGAGGUCUCUGAAAACUAAUAUUGCACACUGUUGUAAAUGCCAUUUUAUUUAGGAUGCGUUUACUUAGGAUGGGUUUCUUAUUGCUGUUGUUGUUAUUCUUUAUUUUGCAGUUGGUGAGCUUACUCAGCUGGCCUAAACUAGCAAAUUAGGUGAUAUGUUUACAGGGUUCUGGCCAGGGUGGUCAUUGUAACAGAAACCUUUCUUUUUGUUAUAUAGGAGAGCACUUAAUUAAACUCUAUGCCUAUUUAAUUAAGCUUCAAAAAUAUGGUAACAUAUUUCUUCCCCUUGGGUUACACACUGCAUACAUUUAUCUUAUCUGAGGCUUAUUCCCUUAGCUUCAUUUUAAAGAGUUUAAAGCUGCUGUUUUCCUGCAGUGUCAUUUGUCCACAAGGUUCCUAUCAUAUAGUUUCCACUCAUCCAUUUUCUGCUGCUAAAAUUGUUUUCCACCUUUGCCAGAAGAUCUCAGUUGGAUAAAAGGGUCACAAACCUCCAGGUUGAGGAAGAAGAUUCAACCAGUUGUACAGUCUGAAUCUUCAUUGCUAUUGAGGCAGCCUUUUCUGUUCCCAUCUGUCUUUGCCAGACUGGUGCAGUCAGCAUAGCAAAUGGGUGUAUUGCCAUCCCAAAACCAGGCCAAUUCUCCAAGUGGAACUGUAGUAUAGCCAUCACACUCCUCCUAGCAAACCUUUGAA